AAAAAGACAAACCCUGGAUUUUCGUACCAACGUUUGACUGUCCGUAUUAUAUGAAAUUUUUUUAUAAUUAGUAUUUUUAUUGUUGUUAGAUGAUAAAACAUGAUUAAUAUUUUAUGCGUGACUUAUCUUUUUAAUUUUUUUUAUAAUUUUUUCAAAUAAGACGGACGAUUAAACGUUGGACAUGGAAACCAGGGUUUGUCUUUUU
rfam:Oryza glumipatula chromosome 12, whole genome shotgun sequence.